ensembl:lncRNA
AACUCAGUGGAGAGAGAGAGAGAGACACACAGUGACGUGUGUAACUUGAAUCCAGGAACCCCGGUUAUGCAAGACCAGCUGCGUUUCAGUUUUGAAGCACUAUUUUUUUUAAAGAGUGAGUGCUUCCCACGUGGCUCACCUCUGGGAGCUGCCCUGCAGUUUGGAGGGGAGCAGGGUGGGGACACCCAGGUGGUGGGUGGGUGGUGAGUUGUUAAUUCUGGAGAAAAGCCACUGACUUAACUGAAAAUUAUGUUGGUUUACCAGCAGGCCAGAGUCAUGCACUUCUCCUCUGGGAACAAAAGGGUGUCAUGGUGUCUGGUGCUGAGCAUGGACACAGUGGCCACCCGUGGUCAAAUGCCUGGGCCCAAAGGGAACCCGUGGCCCCAUCAGUUGUCCUUAGAGCGGUGGUUCUCAGCCAGAAGCCAUCUUGCCCUCCAGGAGACAUUUGGCAAUGUCUAGAGACGCCUGCUGAGGGGGUUACUGUCAUCUGGUGGGUAGAAACCAGAGAUGCUGCGGAACAUCCUCCAAUGCACAGAGCAGCCCCUACAAUAAAAAAUUAUCCACCCAAAAUGUCAAUAGUAGCAAAACCCUGCUUUAAAGCAAACAGACAACUUUUGUUUGCCUGGGAAUCAACAAGUGUUCUCAGGUGUAUACAGGAGGUGCUCAAUAAAUGCAUGUGGAUGAGGAUGAAAAGCUAUUGUCCAUGGACUCUAGCAGAAGAGCCCAGGGUAGUGCUGGGAUAGAGGGCGGCAGGAGAGGCUCCUAGGCUGCAAAUGCAGCCCUUGGACCAGGAGGCAGGACCCGGGCUAAGAUUCAGUUUCUACAGUGGUUCUUUGAGGGUAUGAUUGUGAAUGAUAUUUAUUAUAAAAUUAUAUUUUUCUGAGUUUUUUUAACAAAAUGAGCUUGUAUUAUAAUUUUUUCUUAAUUACCUGUUAGAAAGACUUAGUUUCCCAAAUCAUCUGUUCACGGGACUUUCCUUAGUCCCGACUGAGAAAGGGGCACCGAUUCCCUCUGCACCUGCAAAUCUCAGUUCACACUUUACAGUUCACCCCUGUGAUAGGGCAUCAUCAAAAGUAUGAAGACCUUCCUUCCAGGGAAGAAACUCUUAGAUGUAAGGAGAUCUGAAUUGUGAGUUGGAGCCCUGGGGUCUGGUUGCAAGUCUGACGCCAACAUCUGUCACCUUGAACAAGUCUUGUGAGUUCUCGGGACCUCAGUCCCCAUGUCCCUGGAGUGCCAGGACGAGAACAGAUGCGUCCCAUAGCCCUUGAGUGGCUCACAGAAGAGCAGGUGGGGGCUCAGGCCCACGGCCUCCUGGCUUCAGCGAGGGGGCAGCACCUGUCUGGUACAGCCCCCGCUGGGCCUGCCUCCCAAGUGACCCGUAUGGGACACAGUCCCAGUGUGUUGAAGGGCAGCACAGGGUGUGUCCCCAAACUUUCUGCUUUCAUCGCACGUCACGUCUUGCCAAUUCAAAAGGAGGACCUGGCCACCAGGUUACACCAGCUGCUCCAGGCACAUCUCACCUGGCAGGAGAUACACGUGAGCUUAAGAGCAACUGUGGUCUGGGGUGCAUGCCAGAAAACCCUCUUUUCCCUACAAACCUUCUUGAUCUCAGAGUAACCAGUUGACUCCCAUGGCAAUUAAUGAGGUGAGACGCGGCUGCCAGCUCUCCUCUAUGAGUCACUGCCACUGUUUUCACAGAUGGAGACGCUGAAGCCCAGGAGUGGCACCCUCUGCUCCAGACCCCUCAAGUGCCUUUAAGUUCCGAGCAUCAGCCAUCAUUCACUGGUUUCCUUUGCCCUGAAAAACUCUGAUCCUUCACAAAAUGAUGAUCCUCUAAAAUAAUGAGGGAGUUCUGUCAUCUUUCUACUUCCCUGAGGAGGCGUCAGCCGGGCUACAGGAAAGAAAAAAGGGCUUCUCCAAGGAUUUUAUUAUUUUUAUUUUCUUUUAAAGAUUGGCCCUGAGCUAACAUCUGUUGCCAAUCUGCCUCUUUUUUUUGGUGAGGAAGAUUGGCCCUGAGCUACUAUCUGUUGCCAAUCUUCCUCUUUUUUUUCCUUCUCCAUAAAGCCUCCCAGGGCAUAGCUGUAUAUUUUAUUUGUGGGUCCUUCUGGUUGUGCUAUAUGUGACACCGCCUCAAUGUGGCCUGAUGAGUGGUGCCAUGUCUGCGCCCAGGAUCCGAACCGGCAAAACCCUGGGCCACCAAAGCAGAACGUACGAACUUGACCUUUCAGCCACGGGGCCAGCCCCUCCAAGGUUUUUAAAAGUUAUUACUAAAAAAAGACGAAAAAAAAAAGAAAAAAAAAAGUUAUUACUAGCGCUUCGGCAGGCAAGCUUCUGUGCCCUUCCUAGCUUUCUUCUUGACAGUACAGUCUCAGAGAAGUCCCAAUCAGCUGAGACACUUUGAGUUUAUUCUGUGAACAUUAAAUCCAAUAUCAUGUGCUGUGCUCUGGCUGGAAUGCUAACCUGAAUCACGUGACGGCCCCCGGGGGAGGCCCGGGCCUCGUUAAAACUGAGCCCAGGAGCUGGAGGCAGGGCCUUCUCAGAAGGAUGCUCGUGCCUGCUCCACUCCCUCUGCCGGGAUGAGCUGAUGUGCUCGCCCACUUCUCACCCUGGUUUGCCUACUUUCGAUUAUUUUUUAAGUUGAUUCUGUUUCUGAUCAGCACCUGUGUAUUUUUGGCAGUCAGAUAUUAAUGGUGGUUUUCUAUUUUGUUUCUUAGCCAUCAGAUAUAAAUAAUUCUCACCUGAAGAGGUGAAAGGACGGUCAGUAACAGAAAGGUUAGGAAAGGCGGGGACCUAGAAUUCCACAUAGGCCAUUAGCUCUGUGCAGGUUACCUCGCUCACCGGCUCCGCCCGUACAGUUAAGGAGACGAUCUCAGGCUAAAUUCAGUUCACCCCUGCAGUUAGUGAAUGUUGGCUAUUAUGAUUAUUGAGUUGCCUGGACCUCAAGGAGAUGCCACGUCUGAGCCACAGAGGACCACGGUUGGCUGAAGGACCGCAAAGCAGAAAGGCCGUCAGGCAGGAAAAGCAGGCUGGAUACAAGAACUGGAAGAAGGCCACGGUGUGGCAGGAGUGGUGACACGUGGACUGGGCUCCAGGCUGACAGCCCCCGCCUUUCUCCUGGAGUAAGCAGAGCUGCGAGUGGAUUUGCGUUUCUGAUGGCUUCCUCAGGCUACAGAGAGGAGAAUGGGUUAUGGAGGAAAAGCUUGAGGCCUUCGGCAGUGAUGUUUCUCUGAGGAGCCUGCCCGACGUCUGUGUCAUGUCUUCACACUCUGGCUGGUCGCUCUGGGACCUAUUUCCCGUCCCGUAGAACAUCUUGGCACACACAUCCCUCCAAAUUUAUUUUCGUUUUCAAGCAUAUGCGAGCAGCCCCUGCAGCAGGCACGACAACUUCUAUCAACAUUUGGUUCUCAUCUUCCUCCAGACCCACUGAUGGACCAGGCGUCUCCAUCCCCAUAAAAUGAGGCAUCACUCCGUGACUUGCUUUGGCCAAAGAAACGUGGUGGGAAGCCAUGUGUGCACAUGUGAUCCCUGAUGCUCGUCUGUCCAGCUCUUCGCUUGGGUCCCACGGUGACAAUGGGAGUAAGUGUUGACAUAAAGGGGCUGAAGGGUUCAGGCAGCUUGGAAUGCUGAACCAUCACAGAGAGGAGCGAUGGGCUGCGCAGCCACUGGAGCCACAGCAGAGUUUGCACAAGCAGGAAAGAAAGUCCCGCCGCGUGGAGACACUGGGACCUGAAGCUGUGUCUCAUGCGCAUGAGCUGCGCCCGCCUGUCCUGACUGGUGGAGCCCUCUUCACUGAACCAGAGCCUGAGUUCACCCCGACCCUAAACAGGCGUCUGAAAUUAUACUGGCUUGAGAAAGCAGGAGUGUUUGAAAAUGUCCCAUUUGAAAAACUAACAACCCACCAUAAAAUAGGAAGCAAAACAAAACAAGAAUUUACACAAGCAAACCAUUUUUGUGAGAUUGCAUUCUUUUGUUGAUAUGUUUCAAUCACUUCCAGAUGCAUCAAUCCAUUGUAAUUCAGAAGGGUUUUUUUAUUCCCUUGCCGCGCAUCUGGGCAGAAUGGAAAACAAAUUUGCGUAAGUGGUGGAAAUACGUCAUCUACAACAGAAGAACUGACCCCUGGUGGAUUAAAAUUCUUCUUUGAGCAGCUUCAGUUCUUGAUCCUUUUCUUUUGCAUGAUGUUAGCUCCGCAUGUCCCUGUGCCACUGGAAAUUUCUUUGUAGUUAUGAUUUAUUUCCCAACCACCUUGAGAGUUCCUUCUGUGAGCAGCUUCUCGUAACUUGCGUCUAAAAUAGGAAUUCUUGGCUCACGGUCCAUGUAAUACUGGGGUGUGUGUAUCAGUGAAUCACACGCAAUUUAGGCAAAUUAUUCAUGUGCG